CGGCUUCAGGGCUCCCCCCUACGGCAUCUGAACCUGUGGCAGGGAUGGUGAUUAGCCAGGACUGGAGCCCCAGGAGAGGAGGGCUUUCAGCCUCUUCAUUCCAAGAAGAUGACCUCUCGGACCCAGAAAGGAGUGCUUCCCACGUAUCUCAUUUAUCCCCACGACACCCCCGAGAGGAAUGGUCAUGGUGAUUUUACUGCUGCUCGUGGCCAUUGUGGUCGUGGCGGUCUGGCCCACCAACUAGCGGCAGUGAAGGGCCCCCCCCAGCUGUGACACCCGCCAGCGACGGACAAAAGCUCGGCACCCCGUUGGUACGCGAAAAAGCUGCUCUCAAUAAAUUCCCCCCCGACGCUCUGAA